GCGCAGGGGCGGGUCCGGUGGCGGACGGGAGAUUCCCUGGUGAAGGAGGUCGGACGGGGGUUGGGAGCCAGGAUAGAGGGCUCUACUGAAUGAGGAAGAUCGUGGAGGAACGCAGUACUCGGCGCUGAUUGGAUAGCCGGUGGCGCCAAAUCCCGGGGUUAAGGCACCUGUUGUAAGACCUAGUCUUCUGCGCGGUUUCCUCCCUCGUCUCCGCUCCCUUGGCCAAUGAGAAGCCAAGGGGCAGUCGUCUUUCCGUUGGAAUUAUGCGGUGGGGAAAGAAGCACUGACCUAAACACUUCCUACCAGCUCUUACCACCUGCACGUGUUCCCAAAUGAAAGCCUGGCGCGCAGUACCUGGCUCCCUUCGUGGAUAUCCAGCUAGAGUAAGGACGCUAACAAAAAUAUAGCUUUGCGUAAUCUUGUCCCUAAGUGGGAAUUGUGAACAGUGAUGGUUACCUGGAGCGUUGCAGGUUUUUUUUUUUUAGAAUCAAUAGAAUCGUUUAGGUUUGAUUGUACAAUGUAGGUUGCCAAAUUGCCCAAAUCAACUGGUAUUAACUGAUUUAAUAGGUAGCUGAUGUAAUCGGAUUGUUAUCAUACUAUGGAUGAUUAUUAACUAUGUGGAGCACAGCUAAAGUAAAUAAAAUUUACACAAGAGAUAAAUAAAAAAUA